rnacentral:rRNA from 1 species
UGGAAACUGACUGACUNGAGUGCAGAAGGGGAGAGUGGAAUUCCAUGUGUAGCGGUGAAAUGCGUAGAUAUAUGGAGGANCACCAGUGGCGAAAGCGGCUCUNUGGUCUGUCACUGACGCUGAGGCUNGAAAGCGUGGGUAGCGAACAGGAUUAGAUACCCUGGUAGUNCACGCCGUAAACGAUGAGUGCUAGGUGUUAGGCCCUUUCCGGGGCUUAGUGCCGGAGCUAACGCAAUAAGCACUCCGCCUGGGGAGUACGACCGCAAGGUUGAAACUCAAAGGAAUUGACGGGGGCCCGCACAAGCGGUGGAGCAUGUGGUUUAAUUCGAAGCAACGCGAAGAACCUUACCAGGUCUUGACAUCCCGAUGCUAUUCUUAGAGAUAGGAAGUUACUUCGGUACAUCGGAGACAGGUGGUGCAUGGUUGUCGUCAGCUCGUGUCGUGAGAUGUUGGGUUAAGUCCCGCAACGAGCGCAACCCUUAUUGUUAGUUGCCAUCAUUAAGUUGGGCACUCUAGCGAGACUGCCGGUAAUAAACCGGAGGAAGGUGGGGAUGACGUCAAAUCAUCAUGCCCCUUAUGACCUGGGCUACACACGUGCUACAAUGGUCGGUACAACGAGUUGCGAGCCGGUGACGGCAAGCUAAUCUCUGAAAGCCGAUCUCAGUUCGGAUUGGAGGCUGCAACUCGCCUCCAUGAAGUCGGAAUCGCUAGUAAUCGCGGAUCAGCACGCCGCGGUGAAUACGUUCCCGGGCCUUGUACACACCGCCCGUCACACCACGAGAGUUUGUAACACCCGAAGUCGGUGAGGUAACCUUUUAGGGGCCAGCCGC